UGGGGAAUAUUGGACAAUGGGCGCAAGCCUGAUCCAGCAAUGCCGCGUGUGUGAAGAAGGCCUUCGGGUUGUAAAGCACUUUUAUCAGGAGCGAAACGCUGUCGGCUAAUACCCGGCGGAACUGACGGUACCUGAGGAAUAAGCACCGGCUAACUUCGUGCCAGCAGCCGCGGUAAUACGAAGGGUGCAAGCGUUAAUCGGAAUUACUGGGCGUAAAGCGUGCGUAGGCGGUUUCUUAAGUCUGCUGUGAAAUCCCCGGGCUCAACCUGGGAAUGGCAGUGGAUACUGGGAGGCUAGAGUGUGUCAGAGGGUGGUGGAAUUCCCGGUGUAGCGGUGAAAUGCGUAGAGAUCGGGAGGAACAUCAGUGGCGAAGGCGGCCACCUGGGACAACACUGACGCUGAGGCACGAAAAGCGUGGGGAGCAAACAGGAUUAGAUACCCUGGUAGUCCACGCCCUAAAACGAUGCGAACUGGAUGUUGGUCUCAACUCGGAGAUCAGUGUCGAAGCUAACGCGUUAAGUUCGCCGCCUGGAGAGUACGGUCGCAAGACUGAAAACUC
rnacentral:rRNA from 1 species